rnacentral:rRNA from 1 species
UACGUAGGUGGCAAGCGUUGUCCGGAAUUAUUGGGCGUAAAGAGCUCGUAGGCGGCUUGUCGCGUCGUCCGUGAAAACCCACAGCUCAACUGUGGGCUUGCGGUCGAUGACGGGCAGGCUAGAGUUCGGUAGGGGAGACUGGAAUUCCUGGUGUAGCGGUGAAAUGCGCAGAUAUCAGGAGGAACACCGGUGGCGAAGGCGGGUCUCUGGGCCGAUACUGACGCUGAGGAGCGAAAGCGUGGGGAGCGAACAGG